GGCAAGAUGGCCGAGCGGUCUAUGGCGUGUGACUCAAGUUCUCAUCCGGUAAUCCGGGCAGGGGUUCGAAUCCCCUUCUUGUCA
rnacentral:tRNA from 2 species